rnacentral:rRNA from 1 species
GAUUGNGAAGGCAGCUUGCUGGACUGUAACUGACGCUGAGGCACGAAAGCGUGGGGAUCAAACAGGAUUAGAUACCCUGGUAGNCCACGCCGUAAACGAUGANUGCUAGCUGUUAGCGAUAUACUGUUAGCGGCACAGAGAAAUCGUUAAGCAUUCCACCUGGGGAGUACGCCGGCAACGGUGAAACUCAAAGGAAUUGACGGGGGCCCGCACAAGCGGAGGAACAUGUGGUUUAAUUCGAUGAUACGCGAGGAACCUUACCUGGGCUUAAAUUGCAGUGGAAUAACGUGGAAACAUGUUAGCCUUCGGGCCGCUGUGAAGGUGCUGCAUGGUUGUCGUCAGCUCGUGCCGUGAGGUGUCGGCUUAAGUGCCAUAACGAGCGCAACCCUCAUCGAUAGUUACUAACAGGUUAAGCUGAGGACUCUAUCGAGACUGCCGACGUAAGUCGUGAGGAAGGUGGGGAUGACGUCAAAUCAGCACGGCCCUUACGUCCAGGGCUACACACGUGUUACAAUGGGGGGUACAAAGGGCAGCUACCUGGCGACAGGAUGCUAAUCUCAAAAACCUCUCUCAGUUCGGAUUGGAGUCUGCAACCCGACUCCAUGAAGCUGGAUUCGCUAGUAAUCGCGCAUCAGCCACGGCGCGGUGAAUACGUUCCCGGGCCUUGUACACACCGCCCGUCAAGCCAUGGGAGCCGGGGGGACCUGAAGUAUGCAACCGUAAGGAGCGUCCUAGGGUAAAACUGGUGACUGGGGCU